CGCGCAGGUGGUUUCUCAAGUCAGUGGUGAAAGCCCGGAGCUCAACUCCGGAACUGCCAUUGAAACUGUGAGACUUGAGGACGAGAGAGGUGAGUGGAAUUCCCAGUGUAGAGGUGAAAUUCGUAGAUAUUGGGAAGAACACCGGUGGCGAAGGCGGCUCACUGGCUCGUUUCUGACGCUCAGGCGCGACAGCGUGGGGAUCAAACAGGAUUAGAUACCCUGGUAGUCCACGCCGUAAACGAUGAACGCUAGCCGUUGGAUAGCUUGCUAUUCAGUGGCGCAGCUAACGCAUUAAGCGUUCCGCCUGGGGAGUACGGCCGCAAGGUUGAA
rnacentral:rRNA from 1 species